AAAUAUGAAGGCCUGGCUUUCGCGGCCGGCUGAAGUAUUUUUUUCACCCAUGUCUUUUGCGCACUUGUUGUUUCCUGGGCGGGUUCGCCCGCCACCAGGACCAAACCAUAAACCUUUUUUUCUUAUGCAGUUUCCAUCAGCGUCAGUAAAAACAAUGUAAUUAUUACAACUUUCAACAACGGAUCUCUUGGUUCUGGCAUCGAUGAAGAACGCAGCGAAAUGCGAUACGUAGUGUGAAUUGCAGAAUUCAGUGAAUCAUCGAAUCUUUGAACGCACAUUGCGCCCUUUGGUAUUCCAAAGGGCAUGCCUGUUCGAGCGUCAUUUGUACCUUCAAGCUUUGCUUGGUGUUGGGCGUUUUUUUGUCUCCCUCUUUCUGGGAGACUCGCCUUAAAACGAUUGGCAGCCGGCCUACUGGUUUCGGAGCGCAGCACAUUUUUUGCGCUUUGUAUCAGGAGAAAAGGACGGUACUCCAUCAAGACUCUACAUUUUUCACUUUUGACCUCGGAUCAGGUAGGGAUACCCGCUGAACUUAAGCAU
rnacentral:rRNA from 1 species